UUCUGUGGAGUACUGGUUCUCUCUUUUGUUUUUGCUUGGUUUUGAUUUUUCCUGGAAUUGUGGUGCUUUCUGCUGAUGGUGUGUGUGCGCCUUCCAUUGCAGGGUUUGCAGCCGUUCUGCUCGACUUAAGGCCCAGGGAUUUGGCUUCUGUCCAGUGUGUUUUGGAAACCAUGGGACACCACUGCGCUAACGUGUUUCCAUGCAUCUGCUUUUGUCUUAGUGGCUGCUAUGCCUCCAUUAUCUGUACGUAGAGACCGUUUGGUGUUACCAGUAAGGACCAGUGCUGAAUGGAAGAUAACCACUAUCCCUUUGCCAGAAUUGGAAAAUAUCUCCCCAUCCUACCCCAUCCGAUUCUCAGGCCAGGGCUACAGAGAAUGGAAGGCUAUGGCUCCCUAUCACUGUGCACUCUUAUUACAGAGCCAAGGAUUGUCACCAGUGAAGAGGUCAUUCUUCGAGACAGCCCUGUUCUCCCCAUCACCCUGCAGUGUAACCUCACCUCCAGCUCUCACACUCUUACAUAUAGCUACUGGACAAAGAAUGGGGUCGAACUGACUGCCACUCGCAAGAAUGCCAGCAACAUGGAAUACAGGAUCAAUAAGCCGAGAGCUGAGGAUUCAGGCGAAUACCACUGUGUAUAUCACUUUGUCAGUGCUCCUAAAGCAAAUGCCACCAUUGAAGUGAAAGCUGCUCCUGACAUCACUGGCCAUAAACGGAGUGAGAAUAAGAAUGAAGGGCAAGAUGCCAUGAUGUAUUGCAAGUCAGUUGGCUACCCACACCCAGAGUGGAUCUGGCGCAAGAAGGAGAAUGGUAUGCCCAUGGACAUUGUCAAUACCUCUGGCCGCUUCUUCAUCAUCAACAAGGAAAAUUACACUGAGCUGAGCAUCAUGAAUCUCCAGAUCACAGAAGACCCUGGCGAGUAUGAAUGUAAUGCUACCAACUCCAUUGGCUCAGCCUCCGUUGUCACCAUCCUCAGGGUACGGAGCCACCUGGCCCCACUCUGGCCUUUUUUGGGAAUUCUGGCUGAAAUCAUCAUCCUUGUGGUGAUCAUUGUUGUGUAUGAGAAGAGGAAGAGGCCAGAUGAAGUUCCUGACGAUCAUCAGGCAGAUUGAGCUUGAGGAGAAUCCAAGUCAAGCCUAGAAGCCACCCCAAGAUCGCAGGCCACCUGGCCUUUCAGGCAGAUUUAAGACGAUGAACCAGCUGGGCCAAUGAAAACCAACUCUACCAACAAUCACAAAGAGAAAAACUUGCGCCAGAGAAACACAAAUUAAAUACUGCUUAUGAUACCUUUAGGUUCCUGAAACUGGUGGCAACAUGACCUGCUAAAUUUUCUGCUUGGACCUCUUUGGUUCUCUCCCCUUUCAAGCGAGCAGCACCACAAUGACUGUCUACAGCAUGCCUUAUUUAGCCUUUCCUGUAAGGGUGACCUAGUCAGGUACAUUUUAAACAAUGCUUCAGUGUAGAAGGUGUAAACUAUUUUGGGCUUGAUGUGCUGUGAAUGUUGCUUUUUUCCCCCCUUUGUUAAAAUAUUUAAGUAGAAGUGAAAAGGUCCUCUGAGGAUCGGAUCGUGCAUGCGCCAUUUUUUACUUAAUGCAGCUGUUAAAUUGGCAAAGCUCUAAAUUGCACUGCUGCCAUCUAGUGAUAACAUUUUUGUAAAGUACAGCAAAACCUACAGAUAUAUACAGUAUAUAAAUAUAUAUAUAUAUAUUUAUAUUUUUGGGGGUGGGAGAAAUCCAAAAUAAAAUAAAUGCUUGUUUCAUUUUUUAGCUGCUGAUAUUCAUUCCUUAUUGUAUGUUGUCAGAUGAGGAAAGUGUGCAGUUCUGGUACAUAAAGAUGAAUAAUAUAAACUGAAAUCUAUAGUUCUAAGGGCUUAACCUACGACUUUGGUAAGAAGCCGGAACACUCCACUGAAUGGAUAUAUUGAAUUGCAGUAUAUAUGUAUGAUUGCUUUUUAAGUGACUCUUUUCUUUCGUUAAAUCAUGUAAAUUCCUAAAUCCUUUUGCACUGAUGUGUUGAAUCUUAUUGUACAUUCAAUGAAGGCAAACUUUUAUAAUUUACCUUUUGUUUUCAAAGACCUUGAAAUGUUCUCGCAUGGUAUUCUAUGCAACUCGUUCUCCUCCGGGGUUGACACUGUAUUUUUCACAUUGAUUUAAUGGUUGAGUGUAGAUUUUCUCGCCCGGCAGGGUUCUCAUGCGGUAUGUAACCAUAGAUGCAUGUACUGGUGUUUUGUGUAAGUGUUGAAGUGCAAUGAUGUAUAAAAAAGUGGAUUCACCUGUUUUUAAAAAUAAAACAUUGAUAAAAGGUG